UCUUCUUUACCAUCUCAUGCGUGAUCUAAAAGUCCCUCGCUCCAUGGUUGCACACUUGCCUCUUCCUUGACUGCAUCAAUCUUUGCUGGCCCCAACUACUUCAUCUAAAGUUUCCUCGCUCUACAGUCAAUCGUUAAAUACCUCACGCCUACCUUUUCCUCGACCGCAUCUCUCUAUUGGCCCCAACUAUUUCAAAUCCUAAUUGAUCAGCAUCUAGACGAAUUUUUGGUGGCUACAACCUUGUGAGUUUCUCUCCCUCCUUAUCUUUCUCUCAAACAAAUAGUUUUUGAAAGUUCUCUACU
rnacentral:lncRNA from 1 species